rnacentral:misc_RNA from 1 species
AAGUCGUAACAAGGUUUCCGUAGGUGAACCUGCGGAAGGAUCAUUACCAGUGAAGUGCCUGCGCCCUCGUGGCCAGGUGCCCACCCACCCGUGUUUACAUACUCUUGUUGCUUUGGCAGGCCGUGGCCUCCACCGUGGGCUCUGCCUGCGCGUGCCUGCCAGAGGACCAAACUCUGAAUUUUAGUGAUGUCUGAGUACUAUAUAAUAGUUAAAACUUUCAACAACGGAUCUCUUGGUUCUG